GGGUUGUGAGGUUAAGCGACUAAGCGUACACGGUGGAUGCCCUGGCAGUCAGAGGCGAUGAAGGACGUGCUAAUCUGCGAUAAGCGUCGGUAAGGUGAUAUGAACCGUUAUAACCGGCGAUUUCCGAAUGGGGAAACCCAGUGUGAUUCGUCACACUAUCAUUAACUGAAUCCAUAGGUUAAUGAGGCGAACCGGGGGAACUGAAACAUCUAAGUACCCCGAGGAAAAGAAAUCAACCGAGAUUCCCCCAGUAGCGGCGAGCGGACGGGGAGCAGCCCAGAGCCUGAAUCAGUGUGUGUGUUAGUGGAAGCGUCUGGAAAGGCGUGCGAUACAGGGUGACAGCCCCGUACACAAAAAUGCACAUAUUGUGAGCUUGAUGAGUAGGGCGGGACACGUGGUAUCCUGUCUGAAUAUGGGGGGACCAUCCUCCAAGGCUAAAUACUCCUGACUGACCGAUAGUGAACCAGUACCGUGAGGGAAAGGCGAAAAGAACCCCGGCGAGGGGAGUGAAAAAGAACCUGAAACCGUGUACGUACAAGCAGUGGGAGCACGCUUAGGCGUGUGACUGCGUACCUUUUGUAUAAUGGGUCAGCGACUUAUAUUCUGUAGCAAGGUUAACCGAAUAGGGGAGCCGAAGGGAAACCGAGUCUUAACUGGGCGUUAAGUUGCAGGGUAUAGACCCGAAACCCGGUGAUCUAGCCAUGGGCAGGUUGAAGGUUGGGUAACACUAACUGGAGGACCGAACCGACUAAUGUUGAAAAAUUAGCGGAUGACUUGUGGCUGGGGGUGAAAGGCCAAUCAAACCGGGAGAUAGCUGGUUCUCCCCGAAAGCUAUUUAGGUAGCGCCUCGUGAAUUCAUCUCCGGGGGUAGAGCACUGUUUCGGCAAGGGGGUCAUCCCGACUUACC
rnacentral:rRNA from 2 species